rnacentral:rRNA from 1 species
UACGGGGGGAGCAAGCGUUGUUCGGAUUUACUGGGCGUAAAGGGCGCGUAGGCGGCCUCCGCAAGUCGACUGUGAAAUCUCCGGGCUUAACCCGGAAAGGUCAGCCGAAACUGCGGGGCUAGAGUGCAGAAGGGGCAACUGGAAUUCUCGGUGUAGCGGUGAAAUGCGUAGAUAUCGAGAGGAACACCUGCGGCGAAGGCGGUUCUCUGGGCCUUACCUGACGCUGAGGAGCGAAAGCGUGGGGAGCGAACAGG